CAAGCCUUAAUGCGCACUCAGUGCGCACUAGUGCAAGCUACCGAAUUCGCUAUAAGUUAAAGAGAAGAAUAAGAUAAAAGUGCAAAAAAUGGUAUUAUGUUUUGUACCUUCCUGCAAAAAUAGAUCCGACUGUCAAAAUUGGAAACAAAAUGUCAAUAAAAAAAACCGCACAAAAAUUACAUUCCACAGUUUUCCAAAAAAUGCUACAAUACGUAGUUUAUGGUUGUGGAUAUAUUGAAUAUUAAAAUAACAUCUAUUCCAACAGGAGCACGCAUUUGCUCAACCCACUUUCAUGAAAAAUUUUUCGACAGAACAUCUUCAAUAACCCGAUUACGGUCAAAUGCAUUACCAUUUAGGAAAUCUGUAACAGAGACACUGCUUUUGUCAAAUCUUCCAUUAGCAACAAAAAACUUUUCUGAUAUUGUAUCUACAAUAGAAAAUGUGGAGGAAGUUGCUAACAUCUCAAUAUCCAUUCUUAAAACAAAGAAUACGGCAAAUUUAAAUCAUGAAGCAUCAGUGUCAGUUGCA